rnacentral:rRNA from 1 species
AACGAACGCUGGCGGCAGGCCUAACACAUGCAAGUCGAGCGAAGCCUUCGGGCUUAGCGGCGGACGGGUGAGUAACGCGUGGGAACGUGUCCUUUGGUGCGGAAUAGCCCCGGGAAACUGGGAGUAAUACCGUAUGUGGUCGAGAGACGAAAGAUUUAUCGCCAAAGGAUCGGCCCGCGUUGGAUUAGGUAGUUGGUGGGGUAAUGGCCUACCAAGCCGACGAUCCAUAGCUGGUUUGAGAGGAUGAUCCGCCACACUGGGACUGAGACACGGCCCAGACUCCUACGGGAGGCAGCAGUGGGGAAUCUUAGACAAUGGGGGAAACCCUGAUCUAGCCAUGCCGCGUGAUCGAUGAAGGCCUUAGGGUUGUAAAGAUCUUUCAGUGGGGAAGAUAAUGACUGUACCCACAGAAGAAGCCCCGGCUAACUCCGUGCCAGCCGCCGCGGUAAGAC